AAACCUCCCUAAUAAUACAUAAGUACCAAAAAAAAAAAAAAAAAAAAACUUCCAACUUUCGAUUCCCUACAGCCUACAUCCAUAAUAAUUCAACACGUGAUAACCAAUUCAUAAUAAAUGGCUGCAUCCGUGGAAACGGCUUUUGACACACUUCAACGGGCG
rnacentral:ribozyme from 12 species